rnacentral:tRNA from 1 species
GGAUAGAUAUAUUAAGUCCAAAAAUAGAAGGAUUUAAAUACAUUAUUUAUAGAAAAACUGAAUUAUUUAAUUUAAUAAAUAAUUAU